rnacentral:rRNA from 1 species
UACGUAGGGUGCAAGCGUUGUCCGGAAUUAUUGGGCGUAAAGAGCUCGUAGGCGGUUUGUCGCGUCGGCUGUGAAAACCUGGGGCUCAACCCCGGGCCUGCAGCCGAUACGGGCAAACUAGAAUUCGGUAGGGGAGACUGGAAUUCCUGGUGUAGCGGUGAAAUGCGCAGAUAUCAGGAGGAACACCAGUGGCGAAGGCGGCUCACUGGCCCGGUACUGACGCUGAGGUGCGAAAGCGUGGGGAGCAAACAGG